rnacentral:rRNA from 1 species
GACGAACGCUGGCGGCGUGCCUAACACAUGCAAGUUGAGCGACGAACCAGGGCUUGCCCUGGGGCAAAGCAGCGAACGGGUGAGUAACACGUGGGUAACCUACCCCGAUAACCGGGACAACCCGAGGAAACUCGGGCUAAUACCGGAUGUGCUCACUGGACUUCGGUUCAGUGCGUAAAGGAAGCUUCGGCCUCCGUGUCGGGAGGGGCCCGCGGCCCAUUAGUUUGUUGGUGAGGUAACGGCUCACCAAGACCGCGAUGGGUAGCUGGUCUGAGAGGACGAUCAGCCACACUGGGACUGAGACACGGCCCAGACUCCUACGGGAGGCAGCAGUGGGGAAUCUUGCGCAAUGCGCGAAAGCGUGACGCAGCAACGCCGCGUGGGGGAAGAAGGCCUUCGGGUUGUAAACCCCUUUCAGGAGGGACGAAGGUUCGGCGGUGAAUAGCCGUCCGGACUGACGGUACCUCCACAAGAAGCCCCGGCUAACUACGUG